GUCGAGCGGAACGAGUUAUCUGAACCUUCGGGGAAUGAUAACGGCGUCGAGCGGCGGACGGGUGAGUAAUGCCUAGGAAAUUGCCCUGAUGUGGGGGAUAACCAUUGGAAACGAUGGCUAAUACCGCAUAAUACCUACGGGUCAAAGAGGGGGACCUUCGGGCCUCUCGCGUCAGGAUAUGCCUAGGUGGGAUUAGCUAGUUGGUGAGGUAAUGGCUCACCAAGGCGACGAUCCCUAGCUGGUCUGAGAGGAUGAUCAGCCACACUGGAACUGAGACACGGUCCAGACUCCUACGGGAGGCAGCAGUGGGGAAUAUUGCACAAUGGGCGCAAGCCUGAUGCAGCCAUGCCGCGUGUGUGAAGAAGGCCUUCGGGUUGUAAAGCACUUUCAGUCGUGAGGAAGGUAGUGUAGUUAAUAGCUGCAUUAUUUGACGUUAGCGACAGAAGAAGCACCGGCUAACUCCGUGCCAGCAGCCGCGGUAAUACGGAGGGUGCGAGCGUUAAUCGGAAUUACUGGGCGUAAAGCGCAUGCAGGUGGUUUGUUAAGUCAGAUGUGAAAGCCCGGGGCUCAACCUCGGAAUAGCAUUUGAAACUGGCAGACUAGAGUACUGUAGAGGGGGGUAGAAUUUCAGGUGUAGCGGUGAAAUGCGUAGAGAUCUGAAGGAAUACCGGUGGCGAAGGCGGCCCCCUGGACAGAUACUGACACUCAGAUGCGAAAGCGUGGGGAGCAAACAGGAUUAGAUACCCUG
rnacentral:rRNA from 1 species